rnacentral:rRNA from 1 species
UACGAAGGGGGCUAGCGUUGCUCGGAUUGACUGGGCGUAAAGGGCGCGUAGGCGGUUCGUACAGUCAGACGUGAAAUUCCUGGGCUCAACCUGGGGGCUGCGUUUGAUACGUGCGGGCUUGAGUGCGGAAGAGGGUCGUGGAAUUCCCAGUGUAGAGGUGAAAUUCGUAGAUAUUGGGAAGAACACCGGUGGCGAAGGCGGCGACCUGGUCCGAUACUGACGCUGAGGCGCGAAAGCGUGGGGAGCAAACGGG